UGUUUUGUCUCUGCAAUAAAC
rnacentral:snRNA from 1 species